rnacentral:rRNA from 1 species
ACUGCUUUUAUAAGGGAAUAAAGUGAGUCUCGCGAGACUUUUUGCAUGUACCUUAUGAAUAAGGACCGGCUAAUUCCGUGCCAGCAGCCGCGGUAAUACGGAAGGUCCGGGCGUUAUCCGGAUUUAUUGGGUUUAAAGGGAGCGUAGGCCGGAGAUUAGGCGUGUUGUGAAAUGUAGACGCUCAACGUCUGCACUGCAGCGCGAACUGGUUUCCUUGAGUACGCACAAAGUGGGCGGAAUUCGUGGUGUAGCGGUGAAAUGCUUAGAUAUCACGAAGAACUCCGAUUGCGAAGGCAGCUCACUGGAGCGCAACUGACGCUGAAGCUCGAAAGUGCGGGUAUCGAACAGGAUUAGAUACCCUGGUAGUCCGCACGGUAAACGAUGGAUGCCCGCUGUUGGUCUGAAUAGGUCAGCGGCCAAGCGAAAGCAUUAAGCAUCCCACCUGGGGAGUACGCCGGCAACGGUGCAACUCAAAGGAAUUGAAGGA